GUGAACGCUGGCGGUAGGCCUAACACAUGCAAGUCGAACGGCAGCACAGUAAGAGCUUGCUCUUACGGGUGGCGAGUGGCGGACGGGUGAGGAAUACAUCGGAAUCUACUUUUUCGUGGGGGAUAACGUAGGGAAACUUACGCUAAUACCGCAUACGACCUACGGGUGAAAGCAGGGGAUCUUCGGACCUUGCGCGAUUGAAUGAGCCGAUGUCGGAUUAGCUAGUUGGCGGGGUAAAGGCCCACCAAGGCGACGAUCCGUAGCUGGUCUGAGAGGAUGAUCAGCCAACCUGGAACGGAGACACGGUCCGAACUCCUACGGGAGGCAGCAGUGGGGAAUAUUGGACAAUGGGCGCAAGCCUGAACCAGCCAUACGGCGGGGGUGAAGAAGGCCUUCGGGUUGUAAAGCCCUUUUGUUGGGAAAAAAAAGCAGCAGGUUAAAACCCCGCUGUUUUGGCGGUACCAAAAGAAUAAGCACCGGCAAACUCCGU
rnacentral:rRNA from 1 species